AACGAACGCUGGCGGCAUGCCUAACACAUGCAAGUCGAACGAGACCUUCGGGUCUAGUGGCGCACGGGUGCGUAACACGUGGGAAUUUGCCUCGGGGUAUGGAAUAACUCAGGGAAACUUGAGCUAAUACCAUAUAAUGUCUUCGGACCAAAGAUUAUCGCCCUGAGAUAAGCCCGCGUAGGAUUAGCUAGUUGGUGGGGUAAAGGCUCACCAAGGCGACGAUCCUUAGCUGGUCUGAGAGGAUGAUCAGCCACACUGGGACUGAGACACGGCCAGACUCCUACGGGAGGGCAGCAGUGGGGAAUAUUGGACAAUGGGCGCAAGCCUGAUCCAGCCAUG
rnacentral:rRNA from 1 species